AGAGUUUGAUCCUGGCUCAGGAUGAACGCUGGCGGCGUGCCUAACACAUGCAAGUCGAGCGAAGCACUUGAAUACGAUUCUUCGGAUGAGGAUUCUUGUGACUGAGCGGCGGACGGGUGAGUAACGCGUGGGCAACCUGCCUUACACAGGGGGAUAACAGUUAGAAAUGACUGCUAAUACCGCAUAAGACCACAAAACCGCAUGGUUUGGUGGUAAAAACUCCGGUGGUGUAAGAUGGGCCCGCGUCUGAUUAGGUAGUUGGUGGGGUAACGGCCUACCAAGCCGACGAUCAGUAGCCGACCUGAGAGGGUGACCGGCCACAUUGGGACUGAGACACGGCCCAGACUCCUACGGGAGGCAGCAGUGGGGAAUAUUGCACAAUGGGGGAAACCCUGAUGCAGCGACGCCGCGUGAGCGAUGAAGUAUUUCGGUAUGUAAAGCUCUAUCAGCAGGGAAGAAAAUGACGGUACCUGACUAAGAAGCCCCGGCUAACUACGUGCCAGCAGCCGCGGUAAUACGUAGGGGGCAAGCGUUAUCCGGAUUUACUGGGUGUAAAGGGAGCGU
rnacentral:rRNA from 1 species